rnacentral:lncRNA from 1 species
CACUCCAUAAUCCAAUCAUUGGAAUCCUCUACAUUUAACUGUCAUUCUCCCUACACUUCUUCACACAAAUCCAGAUUCCAAAGAUUCCUUCUCAAACCUCAGUAUUAUAAUUCUUCCAUUCAUAACCAUUCUUCUGUAAUACUUCUAAUUGUCUACUUACAAUUCUCCACUAUAUCCAUCCAUAAUAAAUUCCAUACUUCAUUUAUAAUAUUAAAUCUCUUUUUCAUUCCAAAAUUUCACUUCAUAUUAUUCAAAAACCAUUCAUUACUUUUCAACUACAAAGAAACAAAGAGGUAUCACUAAGCUUAUCUUGGCUCAUAACUAUCACAGUCUGGUCCCUUUUACUUCUUUCUCAGCCUAAUUAUACUUACCUCAAAAUGCCAACCACUAUUCAAUAUGAUGAUAACUACUUUUUUUGAUUGAAUCAUCCAUUCAACUUUCUAAACUAUCUAUUCAUCAAUUUAUUAGC